GCUGGGGCCUGCGGGGACCCUGGGCUGGGGCCUGAGGGGUGAGCGGACGGAGGGGCGCGGGGACGCUGGGCUGGGAGAGGAUUUUUGAGGUGGAGGUGACUGAGGGGCACUGUCUGGGCAGAGGUGAGCUUGAGGUGUCCAGGGAGAAGCCUAGGCAGUCAGCACAGUGACCAUGAAGGAGUGCUGGGGAGCUGGGGGAAAGGACCUGGCAGGGGCCCCCCAGCUUGUGGCUGCAGGGGAGGCCCUCCAGGAGGAGAGGGACACCCCCCCCCAGGGCAGAGGCUGGGUCCUUGUAAGCUGAUACGGUCUUCUCCUCAUCUGGGCAGACAGGGCAGGGUCCAUCAGAGGCCUUAACAAGAGUGGGCGGGCUGGCCCUGACCACCCACGUGUCCUCUUGCUGACUGCUGCUCGAGCUUCACUGCACCCAGCCUGUAGGUUGAGAGGCCACGGCUUGGAGAGUCGCUUAGGGUUGCAGCCAAGGUUCCCCCCUUGAAGCCGGUGCCCCCUCCAGACACACCCUUGGGUGGAGAAGGGGCUGGCCUGCCAGGGGGGCCGCAACCACAUGUGCACCCAGGCACCACGAACACCUCCUCUGCUCUACAGAUGUCUGCUUACCGCAAUCCAAACUCACCAGGGCAUCCAGUAGUGGAGGACAAGCGAGCUGGGCCUGCAUCCCCUGUCCUCAACCUGGGGUGACCCAGAUGCAAACGGACAGGCUGGAGUAUCUUACAACACAGAGCAAAAGUAAGAGGCUCACGAAGAAGACGACGAGAACCUCACAGAACAGGACACGGAGAACGAUCACAGGAAACUUCUCAAAUGACAAGUAAUACCCAGGACACGUGGAGAAAAAACACCCACAGAGGCAUGUCAGAGUGACAUUCUGGAAUUCAAAGGGUAAAGAGAGUAGCUCAAAAACCUGCAGAGAAGAAGGAUCUUCUUUAAUCAGACUGAAUCUGAUUGUCAACUGGCAAGGGAGCACAAUUGUCAAAAUUGUAAGAGAAUUGAACCUAGAACUCCUAGUAGUGAAACUCAUUUGUGAAACCGCAAAAUAAAGGUGUCUUCACAGUCUAAACAUCCAAGUUCACCAUACACAAAGUCUAUUAAAAAAAAAUGCUGGAAGAUAGAUUCUAGCAAAACAAAAAGCGUAUCCAAGAGGAAGACAUGGAUGCCAGCAAAGAAACCAGUUGGAAUGGUUGAAAGAAAACCAUAUAACAGCUGGAGAGAAAAUCCCAGAUGAGCCCAACAUGACAUAUGGCAAGGGGAGGUCAGAGCAGGAAGGAAAAAGCACGCUAAAGUUCUUGUAUUGUUAGAAGACUUCAGAGUUGGUGGGGAAUUGAAAUGAAGACUGACAGUAUCAACAAAAAUCAGAAAAGAGAAGAUAAAUGCAUGAUCACAAAGGAAGAUAAUAUGAGAUGACAAGAAGAAAUUCAAGCAUUCAUGUAAUCACAAACAUGACUACAUUAAAUUCAUGUAUUAAAAGAUAGAGACUCUCGAAAUGGCAUAUAUCGUUAAAUACUGUCUACAGAAAAAUAUAUCUGAGAAAGUCACACAGAUUGAAAAUAAAAGGAUAGAAAGUAUGUAUCAUACAACUCUUGUUCCUCAAAAGACCGUAAGAGAAUGGACAAAAACAAAAACUAGAAGAUAUUUGCAACGUAUAUACCUUGCAAAUUAUUCAGUGUCCAGAAUAUAUGAAGAAUACUUUCAAAUCCAUUAGAGAAAAACAAGCCAGAGGUGCCUGGCUGGCCCAGUCAGUGGAGUGUAUGACUCUUGAUCUCAGGGUUGUGAGUUCAAGCCCCACGUUGGGUGAGGAGCCUACUUGAAAUAAAAUUUUAAAAAAUUAAUUUUUUUUUUUAAAGAAAAAGACAAGCCAAUCGAAUGACGGGGAAAACCCAUAAUCAGGGUCCUUGCAGAGAAGAAUGUGGAAGGGCCAAUAACCUCACCAGUAAUUUCAAAAAUGCAAACUAAAACCACCAAAUGAGCACAAAUGUUAAACUAAACCCAGUGACGGCAGGAAGGCAGAUCAACUGAAAUAUGCAUACCCUGCUGGCUGGAAUGUCAGGUGGUACCAUUACCUUAGUGAAAAAUAAGGCAUUACCCAGUAAAGUUGGACAUGUGUAUCAGUUAUCUAUUGCUGCAUAAUAAAGCACCUGCAAAACUUCAUAGCUCAAAACAACAAUAGUCGUUCCCUUUACACACAGAUCUCCUAGGGUACUAGGGUAUCCCUACUGGGGACUGGAGGGCCCAUGUCCAAGAUGGUGCAUGCAUGGCCAGUAGGCUGGUUCAGGCUAUGGGCUGAGCCGGAUGGUGGCCAAGUUCCAAGAGCAAGAAUUCUAAGAGAACUAGUAAGGACCUGUUAUCACUCUUCAUACCAUAGCCCCAGAAGUCACAUAGCAUCACUUCUGGCCAAGCCUGUCCGGAUUCAAGAGAUGAGACACCUCUGCUACCUGUGGAUAGAAGUGUCAAAGUCCUAUUUUAAGAGGAAGGAAUACACGUGCAAAUGUGCACACCAAUUCCCAGCUCGAGGGUUAAGCUGAUAUAUUCCUAGGUACCUCCGUGCCUGAAAGUAUGCCAAAGAAACCUGCACUUGUUCAUAGGGAGAUGUGCAUCAAAGUUCAAAACAGUAUUGUUUUUAGUAGCAAAAAUACUGGGAGGGAAAAUACCUUAAAUGUCCCUGGACAAUAAGACAAAGUGAUGUAUGUCCAUAUAAUGGAAUAGCACACGAUGGCUUCAAUGAAUGAACUGUACCACUUGGAGCCAAGUGGCUGAAUCUCAGACACGAUGCCGAGUGGGAGUAACUCAGGACUAUAAUAUAGAGUGUGAUUCCAUUUACAAUUAACAGAGUGAGCUAGCAAAUAUGUGGCAGGUUUACUCAAGCAAGCUUGUCUUCAGCCUCUAUCAAUACUUCCUUCCGUCUUCAGUAUUUGAAACUAGCCUUAUCAUCGCGCUGGGUUCCUCAUUAAUGAUUUAAAUAAAUCUUUGACGCAUUCUCACUUUA